CGGACGGGUGAGUAAUGUCUGGGAAACUGCCUGAUGGAGGGGGGUAACUACUGGAAACGGUAGCUAAUACCGCAUAACGUCGCAAGACCAAGAGGGGGACCUUCGGGCCUCUUGCCAUCGGAUGUGCCCAGAUGGGAUUAGCUAGUAGGUGGGGUAAAGGCUCACCUAGGCGACGAUCCCUAGCUGGUCUGAGAGGAUGACCAGCCACACUGGAACUGAGACACGGUCCAG
rnacentral:rRNA from 1 species